AAGCAAUGGUCUCCUGAACGUGCGUUGCACCCUUGGGAUUUCCUGAGAGUAUGUCUGCUUCAGUGCUUAACUUGCCCCAA
rnacentral:rRNA from 1 species